rnacentral:rRNA from 1 species
UAGGGAAUCUUCCGCAAUGGACGCAAGUCUGACGGAGCAACGCCGCGUGAGUGAAGAAGGAUUUCGGUUCGUAAAACUCUGUUGUUAGAGAAGAACAGCGCAUAGAGUAACUGUUAUGCGUGUGACGGUAACUAACCAGAAAGCCACGGCUAACUACGUUCCAGCAGCCGCGGUAAUACGUAGGGGGCAAGCGGUGUCCGGAUUUAUUGGGCGGAAAGCGAGCGGAGGCGGGCAAUUAAGUCUGAUGUGUAAGCGCCCGGCUUCACCGAGUGUGCUCAUUGGAAACUGGUUGACUUGAGUGCAGAAGAGGAGAGUGGAAUUCCAUGUGUAGCGGUGAAAUGCGUAGAUAUAUGGAGGAACACCAGUGGCGAAAGCGACUCUCUGGUCUGUAACUGACGCUGAGGCUCGAAAGCGUGGGUAGCAAACAGG